UGGCGGACGGGUGAGUAACGCGUGGGUAACCUGCCUUAUACAGGGGGAUAACAGUUAGAAAUGACUGCUAAUACCGCAUAAGCGCACAGGAUUGCAUGAUCUGGUGUGAAAAACUCCGGUGGUAUAAGAUGGACCCGCGUCUGAUUAGCUUGUUGGUGAGGUAACGGCCCACCAAGGCGACGAUCAGUAGCCGACCUGAGAGGGUGACCGGCCACAUUGGGACUGAGACACGGCCCAAACUCCUACGGGAGGCAGCAUG
rnacentral:rRNA from 1 species